GACAGAGGGUGCAAACGUUGUUCGGAAUUACUGGGCGUAAAGGGCGCGUAGGCGGUCCUUCAAGUCAGGCGUGAAAGCCCCGGGCUCAACCUGGGAACCGCGCUUGAGACUGGCGGACUCGAGUUCGGGAGAGGAUGGUGGAAUUCCCAGUGUAGAGGUGAAAUUCGUAGAUAUUGGGAAGAACACCGAUGGCGAAGGCAGCCAUCUGGACCGACACUGACGCUGAGGCGCGAAAGCGUGGGGAGCAAACAGG
rnacentral:rRNA from 1 species